rnacentral:rRNA from 1 species
ACAGGAAGCAGCUUGCUGCUUUGCUGACGAGUGGCGGACGGGUGAGUAAUGUCUGGGAAACUGCCUGAUGGAGGGGGAUAACUACUGGAAACGGUAGCUAAUACCGCAUAACGUCGCAAGACCAAAGAGGGGGACCUUCGGGCCUCUUGCCAUCGGAUGUGCCCAGAUGGGAUUAGCUAGUAGGUGGGGUAACGGCUCACCUAGGCGACGAUCCCUAGCUGGUCUGAGAGGAUGACCAGCCACACUGGAACUGAGACACGGUCCAGACUCCUACGGGAGGCAGCAGUGGGGAAUAUUGCACAAUGGGCGCAAGCCUGAUGCAGCCAUGCCGCGUGUAUGAAGAAGGCCUUCGGGUUGUAAAGUACUUUCAGCGGGGAGGAAGGUGUUGAGGUUAAUAACCUCAGCAAUUGACGUUACCCGCAGAAGAAGCACCGGCUAACUCCGUGCCAGCAGCCGCGGUAAUACGGAGGGUGCAAGCGUUAAUCGGAAUUACUGGGCGUAAAGCGCACGCAGGCGGUCUGUCAAGUCGGAUGUGAAGUCCCCGGGCUCAACCUGGGAACUGCAUUCGAAACUGGCAGGCUAGA